UAUCUGCAUGCAAUCACUAUUGCCAGCUGUUAUGAGUAAACAUUAUAUUGGGACACCAAUAUAUUUCUGAUUUCUGAUUCACGGGCAGUGUAUUUGCUACUGAAGAAAAGGAGAACACAUAGUAAUUGUUCUUGGAUUGAGAUUUAGAGUAAGGUUUCUAUUGAUCUUUUUCAGAUAAGGCCUCUUCAUUUUCAACUGUGAAGGAUCUACAUGGACUUGGUCUGGAUAGCCUUUCCUGUUUUGAUGAGCCAGUCGGGUCUAGAGGAAAAACCCUAUAUGAGCCCCAGGAUCCUUGCUCCUGAUAUCCCGAUGUAUGGGUUGCACUUCAUUAUAUGACUCCAACAGAACACUCACAGAAAGGAGAGUGGUGCCAAACUACAAGACAGCCAGCAUCUGUGUUAUGGAGUGCAUCCUCACAUCAUGGUCUACUGCAGCGGUGGAUACAGAGGACAAUUGGCAGGUUGUCAGCUGUUUGGUUAUCCCCAAAGCAGAAAGACAUGCCAGGAAGGAGCAAGGCAAAGCCCGGGGAUUUUUCUGCAGCUGUUCCUGCCCGUUAUAGAAGGACUGCUCCUGAGAAUAGAUGGGUGUCUACAUCGUUUUGCAAAAUGGGUCUUCUACACAUGAUGUUUGUCAAGCACUGCUCAUUGACUGGCCAGGGGUCCUCUGUAUUGUGACCACUGGUCAAAGGCGCCACAUGACUGUCUCAAAGUCCUCUACAUCAUUCCGGUGACGGGACUUCUGGCCUAGUCUGACAGGAUGGGUCUUGUGUUACUGUGACCAGACGGCUCAACAAUGCAUCAUUCUCAUCCAUGCCCUCAUCGCCUCAAGACUGGAGUACAGCAUUCUCUAUGGUCUUGAAAAAUAUUACUGUCUUUAUUAUUAUUAUUAUUAUUAUUAUUAUUAUUACAGGUCUCUCUGCACCCGAACCAGCAGGUUCAGAGGAAGCUUCUUUUCUGUGGCUGUCACCCGACUGGACUGUAGCUCUGUAUCCCGUGGUGUAUACUACGAAUCUCGAUUAGUCGGUUAGCGAGGUAUGUUGCGCUCAAAGCCAGGGUAUGCUGUGACACGAAAGUGGAUCUGUUUUAGUGUCGCUGUAUCACCAUG